GAGCAGAGGAGACAGACUGGGGAGAGUUUUAGCCGAGCCUUCAAGCAGUUUUACCUUUACUCUUUAUUUUACAUAUAGAAUAACGGCGUCAUGAUUACUUAUAAACUUUCCACCGCACUUUUUCUUAAGCGGAAGUGUUUACCAACAGCCUGGUACCGUUGUUUUCACGAAACUAUGGAUUAGUUAAGGUAAAGAGGAACUUUUAACUUUUCCAUCCCCCGGACCCCUCUCAUAAUGGAAUCCAGACAGAGGAAGCAUUGCGGAGGGUGGCCCGUGCUGAGGCUAUGGUUUUCCCUGGCUUGCCUCAUGGGCGCGACCGCCCAGCUUAGUUACUCGGUGUCAGAAGAGCUCAGUCCGGGGGCUGUGGUCGGGAAUAUCGUUAAAGAUUUGGGUCUCACUGUUCAAAUGAUAAUUCAGAGAAAAUUGCGGGUGGUCUCGGAAUCUAACGCGCAGUACUUCGAGGUGAACCAGGCGACUGGGGAUUUUAUUAUUAGACAGACAAUUGACAGGGAACACAUGUGCGAAUUAAGUGCAACAUGUUCACUGCAUGUUGAGAUUGUACUAGAGGACCCUUUAGCAAUACAUCGUGUUCUUGUGGAUAUUGUGGAUGUGAAUGACAAUGCGCCGCAGUUUUCCACUAAUAAUAUUUCCUUGGAGAUAUCAGAGGCGGCCGCGCCGGGCACCCGGUUCCGUCUGGAGAGUGCGCACGAUCCAGAUGUGGGUAUCAACUCUCUGCGUACGUAUCACCUCGCAUCCAACGACCGCUUUGUUUUGAAUGUGGAAACGAAAAGUGACGGGGAUAAGUUCCCGGAGUUAGUUUUAGUGAAGGCUUUGGAUAGGGAGACGCAGGCCUCGUUUCGCCUGUUGCUUACUGCCCUAGACGGGGGACAGCCAGAGAAGUCUGGCUCCACUCUUCUACUCAUUACAAUUCUGGACGUCAAUGACAACGCGCCCGUCUUUGACAUGUCGAUUAAAAAGUUAGCGUGUUGGAGAAUGUUGAAAAGGGCACUUUAGUAACGAAACUGAACGCAACCGACGCGGAUUAUGCUCAGAACGGGGAGAUCUCCUUCCUGUUUAGUAAAUACACGCCGGACCGGGUGCUCAAGCUAUUCAGCGUGGAUUCGAAAACCGGUGAGGUCCGUGUGAAUGGUCACGUGGAUUACGAGACAGCGAAUGAGUAUUACGUCACUGUGCUGGCCAGGGAUGGGGGAACCCCCGCCAUGGAAGCAUCCUGUAACAUCAAAGUUGAAGUCACUGACGUGAAUGAUAACUCUCCGGAGGUGAUGUUGACGUCACUGACCAGUCCUAUCCAGGAGGACGCAGCACUGGGCACAGUUAUCGCCCUCAUCAGCGCAAGGGACCUGGACUCUGGUAAGAACGGCAAGGUAACAUUGAAGGUCCAGUCUGGUCUGCCCUUCAAACUCAACUCCGCCUUUGGAGAGCACUACAACCUCAUCACCGACGGCAACCUGGACAGAGAGACCAUGGCUGAUUACACUGUGGUCAUCAUGGCGACCGACGCUGGAUCCCCUCCCCUGUCGUCAUGUACGACCUUCGUGGUCAAGCUGUCAGACGUGAAUGACAACGCUCCGUCAUUCUCCCAGGCCUCUUACUCAGUGGACGUCCCCGAGAACAAUGCCCCCAGCACCCCAAUCGCCAUGGUGGUGGCCUCUGACCCGGACAUAGGGGAAAAUGCCCGCGUCUCCUUUUCCAUCCUGCCCAGCAUGGUCCAGGGCUCGCACAUCUCCUCCUAUGUCUACAUCAACCCAGAGACUGGCCACAUCUAUAGCAUGCACUCCCUGGACCAUGAAACCCUCAGCGCCUUCCGCAUUGAGGUACAGGCUCGAGACGCCGGGGCGCCACCUCGGACCACCAACGUCACCGUGCAUGUGUUCAUAGUAGAUCUUAACGACAAUGCGCCCCUCAUCGUGUACCCCCCCUUCCCCCAGGAUGCGGGGCUGCAGCUCAGUGUUCCACUGUCAGCUGGGCCAGGGCACCUCAUUAAUAAACUGGUUGGGGUGGAUCCCGAUAGCGGUCAUAACGCCUGGUUGUUCUACUCCAUCGCCCCCGGGCCUCAUGCUGCUCUGUUCCUCAUCACCCCGCACACCGGCGAGCUCCGCACCACUCGCAAGCUAGCCGAGGAGGAGGGUGGCUCCGCCUAUGACAUCACUGUGGUCGUCCAGGACAACGGCGAACCUACUCUCUCCACCACUGUGGCCAUUACGGUAACAGUGGAGGAGAAGGGCGCCAGUGACACCGCCAUGGACAACCGGAAGACGUCGGGGAUGCAGCGGACUGGGAUGUCUGACAUCACCCUGUACCUCAUCAUCUCACUGGCCUGCGUCUCGGCCAUGUCCUUCCUCACCUUCUUCAUCAUCAUGGUCCGAUGCCUCCGCCACCGCAGCGACCAUGGAGGGACAGGCUGCUGCUACAGCCAUUACCGGCCCAGCGGGGUCUACCAUCAGAGGCCCCACAAGGACCUCCACCUGCAGCUCAACACAGACGGACCCAUCCGUUACAUGGAGGUGGUGGGAGGGGCUCAAGACCCCCCAGGAACACGGACCUACAGACCCUGCUACUCCACCACCUCCAGCCGCAGUGACUUUAUGUUUGUUAAGACACCCAUGAUGAGCCAUAACAACACACUCAGUAUGACACUCAACAGGAAGCACCUAAUGAACUCAGCCAAUGAGCAAAAGCCUCCUAACGCCGACUGGCGCUUCACCCAAGGACAAAGACCUGGACCCAGUGGGGCUGGAGGCCCCCCUGAAAUGGCCAUGGGAACCGGACCCUGGCCCAACCCCCCCACCGAGGCUGAGCAGCUCCAAGCCCUGAUGGCCGCCGCCAACGUGAGCGAAGCGACCGCCACCCUGGGACCAGGCACCAUGGGUCUAAGCACCCGUUACAGUCCCCAGUUCACCCUGCAGCACGUGCCCGACUACCGUCAGAACGUCUACAUCCCUGGCAGCACGGCCACCCUAACCUCCAACCCUCAGCAGCAGCAGCAGCAACAGCAGAUGCUGAUGCAGCAGCAGAUGGUAGCCCAACAACAGGCCCUGCAGGCCCAGCCCUCCGAGGCCUCGGCUCAGCCUGAACCCCCCAAGGCUGCCCAGACCCCCGCCUCCAAGAAGAAGUCCACCAAGAAGGAGAAGAAGUAGGAUGGAUGGAAGGACGAACGAUGAAUGGAUAGAUAUGGAGUAUACGAUGAGAAGAGAACAACCCGAUGAGAAAGGAAAUUUAACCACAGGAGGCUGCUGAGGGGAGGAAUGCUCGUAAUGGCCGGAACAGAGCGAAUGGAAUGGCAUCAAAGACAUGGAAACCAUGUGUUUGAUACCAUUCCUCUCCAGCUAUUACCACAAGCCUGUCCUCCCCAAUUAAAGUGCCACCAACCUCCUGUGAACUCAACCCUCGCUCACCCCCACUUUUCCACACAAUGCGUUUACUCUAACCAUGGUUGGAAUUGUAUUGGUCACGCUCAUAUGAUAACACAAAAUAUGGAGAUGGUUUGGGAAUGUCUGUUUUUGGGCUCUUGAAUCUGGAAAGGGUUGAAGGUUUACAAACCGCAUUGACAUUUUGUUUUUGUUUUCUUUCUGAAGGCUAGCUAGAAACAGUUGUUUUUGUUUCCUUUCUGAAGGCUAGAUAGAAACGGUUGUUUUUGUUUCCUUUCUGAAGGCUAGAUAGAAACGUUUGUUUUUGUUUUCUUUCUGAAGGCUAGCUAGAAACGGUUGUUUCCUUUCUGAAGGCUAGCUAGAAACGGUUGUUUUUGUUUUCUUUCUGAAGGCUAGCUAGAAACGGUUGUUUCCUUUCUGAAGGCUAGCUAGAAACGGUUGUUUUUGUUUUCUUUCUGAAGGCUAGCUAGAAACGGUUGUUUCCUUUCUGAAGGCUAGCUAGAAACGGUUGUUUUUGGAAAGCCUGUGUUCUGUUCUACUCAACAGCAAAGUAUUAAUGGUAUUUCCUGGUAAGGAAGACUGGAGUUGGGGGGGGGGGGGUGGGUCAAUGAAUUUGGAUUCACUUCAGACAACAGAUUGAGUGUAAAAAACCUUGCUGGGGUAACAAGGUUCCCCCAGUGACGUAUUCACAGGUUGAUAUUUUAACCAUGUUCCCUAAGAUGUUUCAUGUUGGAUUUGUAAUUGUUGUUGGAAAGUAGAUCAGUGUUGACUAUAGUAGAUGACUAUAGUAUAGAUUCCUAUAUAGCAGUUCUAAAACCAAUCUGUGCGGCACUCAGUUGAAUAUGAAAAUCCCGACGUGAGCGUCGAGCCUCCACCGCUAUAUAGGAUCAGCCUCAUAGGAUCCUACACCACAGCUCUUUGGAACACAAGGGUAUCGUGUCCACUGGGAGUAUUCUACUCCUCUGCAUGUUCCUAUAGCUUCAAACCACAGACCUAGAAGAUUCAACAAUGCAUUGCUUAAGUGUUGCAAAGAGGACGACCACCUUAACUCCUCUCCCAAAAAUACUGGUUGAUAAAUGCACUUUGUAGCAUUUAUCUGACGUGGUAGCGAAAAAUUCUAAAUAUGAUUUUGUAAGCAUUAGUUAAAUGGUAAGAUUCUAAUAUUUUGUUGUUUUUUAUGACCUUAGCGUGAACCCUAUUAGAGUGCUAUGGCAGAGGGGGAGGGGCAUGUUAUAGUACUAUCAUCAGCCCUAUUGGCUGGCUUGGUGACAUAGUAGGCACUGCCCCUUUUUUAGAACACCAUAGAUGGGCAUAGAGACCACCUGCUGUCCCCUUAUGCCCCCUCCCCUCACUGGCUAUCCCACUUCAACCAUAGGAGAUGCACUGUUCAUACCUUAAAGAUGAGCUGUAGGGUAAAAAGCCCUUCAGAGGAGGGCACAAGUAGAGAUCUUCAACAAAUUGCUGAGAAAUUACACUUCUUAGGUCACUAGGCUCCAGAUUGAGUGUUCACCCCUUGCUAUGUAUCCUGAAGUGCAGAUAGUUAUAUUUCUUGAUGUGAUAAGACAUGUUUUUUGACGACUCAGCAGCAUAAGAGUUGUUUAGAAGAUACGUAGGAAGUCUUUAGUUUGCUGUCUGUCUGUCAGGCUCCCACCACAUGAAGAGGCAUCAUGGAGGCAGGGUUCAAGGGGGAGUGGAAAGGGGUGGGAAGUCUUUAGUUUGCUGUCUGUCUGUCAGGCUCCCACCACAUGAACAGGGUUCAAGGGGGAGUGGAAAGGGAUGGGGUGCGACGUCUGGGUUGGUACCAUUAGAUUGACUGGGAGGGGGGCAACGACCUUGGCUCUACUCACUGAAUGUACAUAGGCAAGGUCCACCCCUAAACUUCCUUGAAUGCACUGACCCAGGUUAGAGGGUGACAGAGCCAAGCACAUCUCUCCAUGUCACAGAGGAGAUACCACUUCAGAAGAAGGGAGUGGGGACAGAGUUCGCUAGUUCCAUUCCUCACUGUAUCUAAUCCCCUCAGUGUAAAUCCACUCUGGUAAAGCUAACCUCAAGACUCUGCCCUCCACUCCCUGGUCCAGUGAAGGCUCUUCCCCACUGUAAAUAAACACUGGUCCUGUCGGGGGCAUGAGCCAGGUGUUUGUAUAGUACGGACCACGUCCUGCAUUUCCAAAUGAAAAGUCCUCUCUCCACAAGGUGUGGCUUUACUACUGGAAUGUGUUGCAUUUGUUUUUCAAGAAAAAUAUGAAAACCGCUGCGAAAAAAAUAGAUCUCUGAAAGUUAGUGUUGCAAUGUAGUAACUAAACACCAUGAAGGCCAACUAACUAACUCUUCAGUGUAAAUAAAUAAAGUUGCUAACUUUAGACGAUGAGUAAACAGUGACACACAUAGACUAGUUAACUUGUGAUAUGUGUUGCGCACAUUUUGUGUUCAUUUUCACUCUCUCCAUUUUACCACCCUGUAAAGAAACCAAACAAAAAAAAGUAUAUUGAAAAAAAUGUUUCUAUCCUUCUGUAACCUCUUUACGUUUUCUUUCUGUGAUUCAUAUCGCGCAUUUGUGCAGGAAUGCCUCUCUCUCUGUCCAUAUGAACAAAUGAUUAUAAAUAUUAUAUAUGU